UUUUUUUUUUUUUCCCGGGGAGUCGGCCUCGGGGCUCUGCUCUCCUACCUCAGUCUGCCCUACCCUGGAAUGGGGAAAAUGCGGACAUGCCACUCAGUCCGGCCGCGAACAGUGCUCCAGAACUCAGAGAGUUUUCCAGACGGGUGGAGAUCGCGUUCCCUGCCCGCCGAGGUCCCAUCGCUUCCCUGCUGGGAAGACAAAUGAGGCGCUUUAGCCGUCUCCACGGCCAGCCCCUCCCUCAUAACCCGAGAUUCUUUGUGGGCUCUUAGUCCAUAGCUGCCUUUGAGGUGGUGUAGACCUUGCUAACCAGGACGGCCCAGUAGGCAGAGCUCAUUUUUAUUCCUGUCUGCAAUCGUGCAAAAACGCCUCUUAUGGAAAAGCCAGAGCGCCAGGAGUCAGCAAAACACACUAAAGAUUGGGCAGUCACUGGGGAGAACACUCAGCCCGCCUGCACCCAGGUGAAAUAUACAGCCUUGUUGCUCACACAAAGCCUGUUUGGUGGUUUCUUCACACGGAUGCAUGUGACAUUUGGUGCUGAAGACCCAGGACAGGAGGACUCCUUUGGGAGACCAGUGCCCUGUUGUCGCCCUCACUCCGUGAGGAGAUCCACCUAUGAUCUCAGGUCCUCAGACCAACCAGCCCAAGGAACAUCUUGCCAAUUUCAAAUCGGAUAGGAGUGUCAGGCCUCUGAGUCCAAGCUAAGCCAUCAAAUCCCCUGUGACCUGCACGUGUACAUCCAGAUGACCUGAAGCAACUGAAGAUCCACAAAAGAAGUGAAAGUAGCCUUAACUGAUGACAUUCCACCAUUGUGAUUUGUUCCUGCCCCACGCUAACUGAUACCAUAUAUUCUUCCCCCGCCCUUGAGAAUGUACUUUGUACACCUAUCCCAAACCUAUAAGAACUAAUGAUAAUCCUACCACCCUUUGCUGACUCUCUUUUUGGACUCAGCCCGCCUGCACCCAGGUGAAAUAAACAGCCCUGUUGCUCAAAAAAAAAAAAAAAA
rnacentral:lncRNA from 1 species